AUUAACUGUAAACGCUACAUCACGCGUCGUUUUCCUAUUAGGGUUUUCAUAUUUUUUUUUGUCUCCGCCAUUGAUAUCGAGACAAAACCAGAGUUCUGAAAGUUGUUUCAUCUUCUUCCUAACAAUCUCUACCAGUUACAGAUUCGUCCUCCUAAAGUCCUUCUUAAUUAUGUCUUGAAUCCGAGCUUACUCAUGCAAAGCGAUGGAAUUGCGACUAUAGAAAGCUGCGUUGGUGAUGCUCUUCGUCUCUAGGCCAUGUGUUCUCUACCAACUCUUUCCCUAUAAUAUCAGCUAACUCGGUUACGCACGGACGUCUCCACCUCCACCACCCCUUUCAUGAGCAGCGGCGGCGGCUCCAACCUAAGGUGUGUAUUGGCGGAUAGUUUUGAAGCAGAUGGGGAUUUCACAAGCUACAAAGAAGCUGUUACGAUGUGUUGUCCUCACGUUCACAACCGGCGGUGGAGAGUGCUGAUGCUGCUGUAAUAGCGGAGGCUCAUCAGAACAGGUUCAAACCAAGGGACCAUAUCUCAGCAAAAUCUCUCAGAUGCAGAAUUUCGCUGGUGUUGGUGGUGCUCCUGUUGGUGAUAGUUUAGCGCCUUCACGUCUCUCUCCGGCUGACUACUACGUCUUGAAACUUUGACAGGGCAUGUGAAUCAAAAUGAUGAUAAAGCUGGGGCUCCGGAGGAUGAGAUGGUUGUGAAAGAGCCUGAGGUAGAAAAGAAACAGAACUGGAACCGGAGUUUGAAAAACAGAAGGAGAGGAAGCAGAAAGAUUUGAAGUAGAAAGAGAUGGAUAAUGACUUCGAAACUUCUAUCAAGCAUUACUCCAAAAAGGCAUUAGGGAGAAAUAGAAACAUGAAGAGGUGAAUCGUUUAAAGAGGGAGACUGCUCAAAAAGAGGAAUCACAUAGAAGAAUAGGAAGAAGAGAGUAAGAGACCCAUGAGAGAAAAGAGCGUCAAGCUGCAGAGAGAGAGAAGCUUCUAGACUGAGAAUAAGGCAAGAAAAGGCACUUCAUCUUGACGGACCUGAGAAAGGACCUGAUGCUACACAUGAGGCACAUAUUAUGAAGAAAAAGGGGAUCUUAUGAGUGUGCUCAUGCUUGAUGAAAAGAUUUCUCCUCAAGUUAUGAACAACUCAUGUGUAUCUUGCAAGUGUUCUCACAGAAUCAAUAUAUCUGGAAGCGAAAACUCAGCCGCAAGUGAUCAUGAUCCGCUGCAACAAGCACAUCCAUUGGAGACAACCACUGCACAUGUUCUGCCUCCUUGCGGUGGGAGCACUGUUGAGGAGCUACUGGUUUUAGCAUUUGAGUGUUUGCUCAAAAAGGCUCGCAAUACUUAACCGACCAAGUUAGAAAGAUUAGAAUCCUACUCUUUACUUGCAAUCCUUGAUUUCAUAUAUUAUGUGUGCAGAUUAUUCAUACAAUAAAAUUUUGCUUCACUUUA